AAUGAACGCUGGCGGCGCGCCUAAUACAUGCAAGUCGAGCGAGAAGACGUAGCAAUACGUUUGUAAAGCGGCGAACGGGUGAGGAAUACAUGGGUAACCUACCCUCGAGUGGGGAAUAACUAGCCGAAAGGUUAGCUAAUACCGCGUACGCUUCUUGGACUUCGGUUCAGGGAGGAAAGCGAUACCGUGGGUAUCGCGCUCUUGGAUGGGCUCAUGUCCUAUCAGCUUGUUGGGAGGUAACGGCUCACCAAGGCUUCGACGGGUAGCUGGUCUGAGAGGACGAUCAGCCACACUGGCACUGCGACACGGGCCAGACUCCUACGGGAGGCAGCAGUAAGGAAUAUUGCGCAAUGGGCGAAAGCCUGACGCAGCGACGCCGCGUGGGGGAUGAAGGUCUUCGGAUUGUAAACCCCUUC
rnacentral:rRNA from 1 species